rnacentral:rRNA from 1 species
CGCAAGCCUGACGGAGCAACGCCGCGUGAGGGAUGAAGGCCUCUGGGCUGUAAACCUCUUUUAUCAAGGAAGAAGAACUGACGGUACUUGAUGAAUAAGCCACGGCUAAUUCCGUGCCAGCAGCCGCGGUAAUACGGGAGCGGCAAGCGUUAUCCGGAAUUAUUGGGCGUAAAGCGUCCGCAGGCGGUUUUACAAGUCUGUCGUUAAAGCGUGGAGCUCAACUCCAUUUCAGCGAUGGAAACUGUAAGACUCGAGUGUGGUAGGGGCAGAGGGAAUUCCCGGUGUAGCGGUGAAAUGCGUAGAUAUCGGGAAGAACACCAGUGGCGAAAGCGCUCUGCUGGGCCAUAACUGACGCUCAUGGACGAAAGCCAGGGGAGCGAAAG